AGAAACCUUUGCAAUGUGCGAAAGCACGACAAGGUUAAUCCGAGUGUCUCCUGCUAAAGGAGUCUUUUGUCAGUUGUAGAAUCACUGGUGAAUAAGGGGUGGGCAAGUUCUGGUGUCAGCCGCCGCGGUAAAACCAGCACCUCGAGUGGUCAGGAGGUUUAUUGGGCCUAAAGCAUCCGUAGCCGGUUGCAUAAGUUUUCGGUUAAAUCUAUGCGCUUAACGUAUAGGCCGCCGAAAAUACUGUGCAGCUAGGGAGUGGGAGAGGUACACGGUACUCGAUAGGAAGGGGUAAAAUCCUUUGAUCUAUUGAAGACCACCUGUGGCGAAGGCGGUGUACCAGAACACGUUCGACGGUGAGGGAUGAAAGCUGGGGGAGCAAACCGGAUUAGAUACCCGGGUAGUCCCAGCUGUAAACGAUGCAGACUCGGUGAUGCAUUGGCUUGUGGCCAAUGCAGUGCCGCAGGGAAGCCGUUAAGUCUGCCGCCUGGGAAGUACGUACGCAAGUAUGAAACUUAAAGGAAUUGGCGGGGGAGCACCACGAGGGGUGAAGCCUGCGGUUCAAUUGGAUC
rnacentral:rRNA from 1 species